GACGAACGCUGGCGGCGUGCUUAACACAUGCAAGUCGAACGGAAAGGCCCUGCUUUUGUGGGGUGCUCGAGUGGCGAACGGGUGAGUAACACGUGAGUAACCUGCCCUUGACUUUGGGAUAACUUCAGGAAACUGGGGCUAAUACCGGAUAGGAGCUCCUGCUGCAUGGUGGGGGUUGGAAAGUUUCGGCGGUUGGGGAUGGACUCGCGGCUUAUCAGCUUGUUGGUGGGGUAGUGGCUUACCAAGGCUUUGACGGGUAGCCGGCCUGAGUGGGUGACCGGCCACAUUGGGACUGAGAUACGGCCCAGACUCCUACGGUAGGCAGCAGUGGGGAAUAUUGCACAAUGGGCGGAAGCCUGAUGCAGCAACGCCGCGUGCGGGAUGACGGCCUUCGGGUUGUAAACCGCUUUCGCCUGUGACGAAGCGUGAGUGACGGUAAUGGGUAAAGAAGCACCGGCUAACUACGUG
rnacentral:rRNA from 1 species